rnacentral:rRNA from 1 species
GACGAACGCUGGCGGCGUGCUUAACACAUGCAAGUCGAACGGAAAGGCCCUGCUUUUGUGGGGUGCUCGAGUGGCGAACGGGUGAGUAACACGUGAGUAACCUGCCCUUGACUUUGGGAUAACUUCAGGAAACUGGGGCUAAUACCGGAUAGGAGCUCCUGCUGCAUGGUGGGGGUUGGACAGCUUCGGCGGUUGGGGAUGGACUCGCGGCUUAUCAGCUUGUUGGUGGGGUAGUGGCUUACCAAGGCUUUGACGGGUAGCCGGCCUGAGAGGGUGACCGGCGACAUUGGGACUGAGAUACGGCCCAGAUGCCUACGGGAGGCAGCAGUGGGGAAUAUUGCACAAUGGGCGGAAGCCUGAUGCAGCAACGCCGCGUGCGGGAAGACGGCCUUCGGGGUGUAAACGGCUUUCGCCUGAGACGAAGCGUGAGUGACGGUAAUGGGUAAAGAAGCACCGGCUAACUACGUG